GCUGAAGGCACUGCUGGGAGCAGGAACCAAUGAACGUGAUUAGCUAAAGGGAGGGAUCAGCAAAUUGUUCAGGAAAGUGGUUUUGUCCAGUUAAAAAAGUAUUUUUUUCUGGUGAAAAGAAAAUAUUGGUGAAGCUGCUGGCAAAUUCUGCUGUUUUGCUGGGUUUGGAAGUGGCAGAAGAUAAAAGCCUAGCUAAGCUGUGCUGAGGAGUCCUGCAUUGACUCAUCUCUACUUCCUACCUGCAUGACUCCCUCUAUCCUAGGGCUCCAGCAAAGAGCUGAUGGCAUCUUGGAGCAUUUGCAAAGCUGCAGAAGACUGGAAAAGAGGCAAAUGUUAAAAGGAAGGAAAGGAAGAGCUGGUGUGGGCCACAUCAAAGUCAUUAAAAGGUGGAAUGAAAAGCCACCUGUUGGACUGUGCUGGGGAGAAGAAACUCAGGCAUGAAGCAGCAUCCCACAGGGGUUGGCCAAGAAUAAGUCACAUUGAAACAACCUAGUUUCUUUCUGUGCCUUGUUCCAGCCCCGCCCUAAGUCUGUGGCUUUUCCUGCUCCUGUUUACUGGUGUUUUCCACCGUUUCCCAAGGACAUGAGUGAUGUCACCAACCCCAGUGCUGGGGAGGUCUUCAUUGAAGUCCUGUUCCUAAGAAAUGUGGUGGCUUGAUCGCACAACUCUUGCCUCCCACUGACGUGGUGGUAGCCUUUUUUGAUGCGCUUUUCCCAAAUAAAGGGUCAUUUAAUUGCUCCUUCUUUGCUGAAUAAAUGUAAGA